UACGUAGGGGGGCAAGCGUUUGUCCGGAUUUAUUGGGCGUAAAGAGCGUGUAGGCGGCCAUACAGGUCAGCUGCGAAACUCGAGGCUCAACCUCGAGACGUCGGUUGAAACCGUAUGGCUAGAGUCCGGAAGAGGAGAGUGGAAUUCCCCGGUGUAGCGGUGAAAUGCGCGGAUAUCGGGAAGAACACCCGUGGCGAAGGCGGCUCUCUGGGACGGUACUGACGCUGAGACGCGAAAGCGUGGGGAGCGAACAGG
rnacentral:rRNA from 1 species